rnacentral:rRNA from 1 species
AUAUUUGGCAAUGGAGGCAACUCUGACCCAGCAACGCCGCCUGAGUGAUGAAGGUCUUCGGAUUGUAAAACUCUUUAAGUGGGGACGAAGAAAGUGACUGUACCCACAGAAUAAGCCUCGGCUAACUACGUGCCAGCCGCCGCGGUAAUACGUAGGAGGCAAGCGUUAUCCGGAAUGACUGGGCGUAAAGGGUGCGUAGGUGGUUUGGCAAGUUAGUAGCGUAAUUCCGGGGAUCAACUUCGGAACUACUACUAAAACUGCUGGGCUUGAGUGCAGGAGGGGCAUAUGGAAUUCCUAGUGUAGCGGUGGAAUGCGUAGAUAUUAGGAGGAACACCAGUGGCGAAGGCGAUAUGCUGGACUGUAACUGACACUGAGGCACGAAAGCGUGGGGAGCAAACAGG